rnacentral:snoRNA from 1 species
CCCAUCUCAGGAUCACACCUGGAGAGUUUCCAGUACUCUACCAGUCUUGACUAUGGGAGGGAGAGUCAAGCAGAAGCCUAAUCAUUCCAUUCCUAGCUUGGCCAGUGGCUAGCGAGUGGAAGGCCAUCUGCUACAAGU